GAUGAACGCUGGCGGCGUGCUUAACACAUGCAAGUCGAACGGACAGGCCCUGCUUUUGUGGGGUGCUCGAGUGGCGAACGGGUGAGUAACACGUGAGUAACCUGCCCUUGACUUUGGGAUAACUUCAGGAAACUGGGGCUAAUACCGGAUAGGAGCUCCUGCUGCAUGGUGGGGGUUGGAAAGUUUCGGCGGUUGGGGAUGGACUCGCGGCUUAUCCGCUUGUUGGUGGGGUAGUGGCUUACCAAGGCUUUGACGGGUAGCCGGCCUGAGAGGGUGACCGGCCACAUUGGGACUGAGAGACGGCCCAGACUCCUACGGGAGGCAGCAGUGGGGAAUAUUGCACAAUGGGCGGAAGCCUGAUGCAGCAACGCCGCGUGCGGGAUGACGGCCUUCGGGUUGUAAACCGCUUUCGCCUGUGACGAAGCGUGAGUGACGGUAAUGGGUAAAGAAGCACCGGCUAACUACGUG
rnacentral:rRNA from 1 species